CCAAAACUAUUGAUAUUGGCACCUGUGAUCAAUCAGUUCCAAAGGCAUAUCCAGAUAAGGGUAUUGUUAUUUGACUUGAUUCCCUCUGUAAUUAAUUAAACUGUAGAUUAAUGAUGGCGCCCACAUUUUCUACGGUUCCUAACUUAAUGUUUUGUUGGUGCCUUUGGUUGAUGGGCAAUGUGCUAUAUUCUUUGUCCUGCCAAAUGAGGAGACAAAUGGCUACUCGGCACAAUAUUCGUCAACUGGUUUUACUGAUAUGGGGAACACAGCUAAUGAAGGGAUGGAGUGAGUGAGUCAUAGUUCAUCCAAGCCUUGAAUGUAGAAUUGGAUUAGAUUAUUGAGCUUUUAACAAAAUCUUUCCAGGCUGGUGGUUCUCCUGACAAUGUUCCACUUGAGGUUGGAUGAUGAAAAUGAAGGGUGUUUGAUAUAUUAACAGAGAGCAUCCUUUUGGCUGCACCAGCACAGGUUUCUUCUAUUCCAUUUUCAUUAGACUAUGUUCACUGUUCACAUUCAUGAUGUGAUCUGUUCAUAUACUUGUUGAACUGUUUUGGUUGCUUUUCUACUUUGAUUUCUGGGCUUUUGGCCUUCAUGAAGCCGAAGCAAUGUUAAUGUGACAUUUUACUAUAU